UCGGAGCACCCCUAAUUUACCCCACCUGCUCUCCCUCAUUACCCUACUAAUUUCCUUCCCAAUUUAUUCCCCUUUUGUUCUCAGACCUGUGCUAGUUUAUUGUGGAUGGUUUCCCCUUUAAGGAUGGUUUUCUGGUAGUCCUGCCACUGCCUGCUUGAACUGUGUUUUUCUGUAUUUGUUUAUGUUAAGUCUAAUAAAAAAUCCCAUUAACCUCUGCAUCCUUGAAUCCUGCUUCUUCCCUUGCCUCACCUGACAAUAAGUAACACAUAUUCAAAAUAUAUGUGCACACCAUGUUUUCCAUAAAUUACAUUUAUAUAUCCCAUAUAUUUAUAUUUCCAACAUAUUUUACA